GACGAACGCUGGCGGCGUGCUUAACACAUGCAAGUCGAGCGGUAAGGCUCUUUCGGGGGUACACGAGCGGCGAACGGGUGAGUAACACGUGGGUGACCUGCCCUCAGCUCUGGGAUAAGCCUGGGAAACCGGGUCUAAUACCGGAUAUGACUCCAUGACGCAUGUUGUGGGGUGGAAAGCCUUGUGCGGCUGAGGAUGGGCCCGCGGCCUAUCAGCUUGUUGGUGGGGUGANGGCCUACCAAGGCGACGACGGGUAGCCGGCCUGAGAGGGCGACCGGCCACACUGGGACUGAGACACGGCCCAGACUCCUACGGGAGGCAGCAGUGGGGAAUCUUGCGCAAUGGGCGAAAGCCUGACGCAGCGACGCCGCGUGAGGGAUGACGGCCUCGG
rnacentral:rRNA from 1 species